GCGCGGGUGGUGCAAGGAGUAGCAUCGUUACCCGGAAAGCGGAAGGUGCGGGUUCGAGUCCCGCCCGGCGCA
rnacentral:tRNA from 1 species